rnacentral:misc_RNA from 1 species
GUUAUUAUUCAGCUCCUAAAAAGAAACCCGCUUUGAAUAGUCUGGAUGAGGCUGACCCAGAACUGCUUAGGUACUUUGAUAGACUUGGUGUGCCUUUGAAUGAAAGGAAUAGAUUAGCUAAUGUUGCGGUUGAUGCAGUUCUUGAUAGCGUUUCAAUUGCUACUACACACAGGCAGACUCUUGAGAAGGCUGGUGUGAUUUUUUGUUCCAUAUCUGAGGCGAUAAAGAAAUACCCAGAUUUGGUUAGGAAGUAUUUGGGGAGAG